GUGCAGCAGGCGAGAAACCUUCGCAAUGCGGGAAACCGCGACGAGGGGACUCCCAGUGCCUACGCUCAGCGUAGGCUGUUCCCGAGCCUAGAAAGCUCGGGGAGUAAGGGCUGGGUAAGACGGGUGCCAGCCGCCGCGGUAAUACCCGCAGCCCGAGUGGUGGCCACUAUUAUUGGGCCUAAAGCGUCCGUAGCCGGCCCGGUAAAUGCCUGGGUAAAUCGUGAGGCCUAACCUCACGAAUUCCGGGUAGACUGCCGGGCUAGGGACCGGAGGAGGGAGAGGGUACUCCAGGGGUAGGGGUGAAAUCCUGUAAUCCCUGGAGGACCACCGGUGGCGAAGGCGCUCUCCUAGGACGGGUCCGACGGUGAGGGACGAAAGCCAGGGGAGCGAACCGGAUUAGAUACCCCCGUAGU
rnacentral:rRNA from 1 species